CGGACGGGUGAGUAACGCGUGGAAAACCUGCCGUAUACUGGGGGAUAACACUUAGAAAUAGGUGCUAAUACCGCAUAAGCGCACAGCUUCCGCAUGAAGCGGUGUGAAAAACUCUGGUGGUAUACGAUGGUUCCGCGUCUGAUUAGCUAGUUGGUGGGGUAAUGGCCUACCAAGGCAACGAUCAGUAGCCGGCCUGAGAGGGUGAACGGCCACAUUGGGACUGAGACACGGCCCAAACUCCUACGGGAGGCAGCAG
rnacentral:rRNA from 1 species